rnacentral:lncRNA from 1 species
AUGAAAGUGCUGCACUCAAUAUGCCAGCAAAUUUGGAAAACUCAGCGGUGGAAACAGGACUGGAAAAGGUCAGUUUUCAUUCCAAUCACAAAGAAAGGCAAUGCCAAAGAAUGCUCAAACUACCGCACAAUUGCACUCAUCUCACAUGCUAGUAAAGUAAUGCUCAAAAUUCUCCAAGCCAGGCUUCAGCAAUACAUGAACCGUGAACUUCCAGAUGUUCAAGCUGGUUUUAAAAAAGGCAGAGGAACCAGAAAUCAAAUUGCCAACAUCCUCUGGAUCAUGGAAAAAAUGAGAGAGUUCCAGAAAAACAUCCAUUUCUGCUUUAUUGACUAUGCCAAAGCCUUUGACUGUGUGGAUCACAAGAAAAUGUGGAAAAUUCGGAAAGAUAUGGGAAUAUCAGACCACCUGACCUGCUUCUUGAGAAAUCUGUAUGCAGGUCAGGAAGCAACAGUUAGAACUGGACAUGGAACAACAGACUGUUUCCAAAUAGGAAAAGGAGUACAUCAAGGCUGUAUAUUGUCACCUUGCUUAUUUAACUUAUAUGUAGACUACAUCAUGAGAAACGCUGAACUGGAAGAAACACAAUCUGGAAUCAAGAUUGCCAGGAGAAAUAUCACUAACCUCAGAUAUGCAGAUGACACCACCCUUAUGGCAGAAAGUGAAGAGGAACUAAAAAGCCUCUUGAUGAAAGUGAAAGAGGAGAGUGAAAAAUUUGACUUCAAGCUCAACAUUCAGAAAAUGAAGAUCAUGGUAUCCGGUCCCAUCACUUCAUGGGAAAUAGAUGGGGAAACAGUGGAAACAGCGUCAGACUUUAUUUUGGGGGCCUCCAAAAUCACUGCAGAUGGUGACUGCAGCCAUGAAAUUAAAAGACGCUUACUCCUUGGAAGAAAAGUUAUGACCAACCUAGAUAGCAUAUUCAAAAGCAGAGAUAGUACUUUGCUGACUAAAGUCCAUCUAGGCAAGGCUAUGGUUUUUCCAGUAGUCAUGUAUGGAUGUGAGAGUUGGACUGUGGAGAAGGCUGAGUGCUGA